GGAUAUGGUAGAUAUUAGAGAUCCACGUCAAUCCAAGAGGCUGAAGACUUCGGAUUCAAAGCAGCAAAAAACAACAAUGAUUCCAGGGAUAAUGCCUCUUUCAAAAGUUCCUGUGAGGAGAAGCCAGAAGCUAGGGGAUAAAAUAACAGCUCUUCAGCAGCUCGUUUCUCCCUUUGGAAAGACGGAUACAGCAUCAGUACUUCAUGAGGCAGCUCUUUCCAUCAAGUUUCUGCAUGACCAA